ensembl:lncRNA novel transcript
GAAGCACUGGUUACUUCCCCCGUCCUCUCAGCUCUGGGAAGGGUGGGGUGGUCAUGAAGUCCUGAGAGAGCAGAGGGACACACCAACUUCUCUUGUUGGUUCCCUCAACCCUGCCCAUACCUAUGGGUAAUCAGAGAUGGAUUCAGUCUCCAGUUAGGAUCCUCAUCAAGGUAUUUGUAUGGGGGAUUCCAUGCAGAUGGUGUAUAGAGAGAAGAUAGACACAAGGGAUCUUCAUAGCCAAGGACUGGAUUUGAACAAGUCAGUCUCCAGCUAUGUUUUAGACACUGAGGACUGUGCCCGUCAUCCCUUAGAGCUUCUCUCUGGGCCACUGGCUCGAAGGGCACAUCUCAGGGAAAAAGGUCAGUGUGAUUCCCUUAUUUCUUUGUGGAAAGACCUCAGUAGCCAAAGGUGUUUGCCCGUGUUAUUUGUCUGAACAAGAUCUUCUCUAGGACAGCUAGGUCCACAGGACAGCACCAAGAGUUACUCUGCAUGCUUAUAGUACCUGCUUACGAACAGAAACAGAGGCAAUAUUCACAUGAAAGCUCAAAUGUGGAUCUCU